AAAAAAAAUUGCACAGCAAAACGUUGCCAGCAUAAGAAGAAUCCAAAAGAAGUCCAUUUGUGAGGAAAGAUCUAUCCUAGAUCUACACAAGAAAGUGCUACUCAUACUGAUGGUGUAAAUUAUGGGACAUGACAGUGGAUUCCUGGUGUUCACACUGGAGCCUGUCUAAAUAAACUCGGAUCUAUGCUGUAUCUACUUGACUGUAUGCUUCCACACACCACCACAGGCUCUGGCUAAUCUCACCUACAGUGGUCGCCCUACCCAUUUCAGCGCUGCCUCAAAAUGUGAGAAGAUAGAGACAGAGAAGGUGUGGUGCUCUCUGUUAUCCCAGAUGAGCAAUGGUGACCAGCAAAGUCAUCUCUAACCAUGAGCCACAUGUUUGUUUUUAACUAUCGUUUGACCUGUUUUAGGUUUGCAAAUCUAAAACUAAACAAACUGUAACUCCUAAAGGAUUGGACUUCUAAAACAU